rnacentral:tRNA from 1 species
UAGGGUGACGAUUUCGGACGAGCACCGGUUUUUGGUACCGGAAUUCGCAGGUUCAAAUCCUGCCGCCCCAGCCA